ACCUAGCCGCCGCCCCCUCGUGCACUCCCGCACUCGCGCCCGCUCCUCCCGCACACGCGCCGCGCCCUCACCUCUCUCUCCCCCUCCAAACCCUACCCCGCCGGCCGCCGCCGCCACCGCUGUUGCUCGCCCUUGCCUCCCGCGCACUACCAUCUCCCGGUCGUCCUCGCUCGCGUACUCUGCCGCAUCUCCCGCGCCAGCAGAUCGACGCAGCCGGGCCCGUCCACCGCGUCUCCCCGCCGCCCAGCUCGUCCCCGGCCUCCGCCCAGGUUAGACCUCGUCCUACAGCUUGCCCUCACCUCUCUCUCCCCCUCCAACCCUACCCCGCCGGCCGCCGCCGCCACCGCUGCUGCUCGCCCUUGCCUCCCGCGCGCCGCCGUCUCCCGGUCAUCCUCGCUCGCGUACUCUGCCGCAUCUCCCGCGCCAGCAGAUCGACGCAGCCGGGCCCGUCCACCGCGUCUCCCUGCCGCCCAGCUCGUCCCCGGCCUCCGCCCAGGUCUGUACUCUGAGGGUUACUUUCAUUUGCGUUGAAAGCUAUGUGGGUCAUUUGUCACGGCCACAGAUGCGGCCCCGGAGCUGUCGGGUUCACCGUGACACAGGUGGAGCAGAUGAAGGUGGAGGCGUGAGUAGCCGACAUCUACUGCGUCCUCUUCGACGCCGCGCCCAACGCCAAGUCUAUCAUGCUAGAGCUGUGGUGCAAUCAGCAUGUCGAGUAUUUGACGAAAGGGCUCGAUGCCGAGUAUUGCUUCUCCAAUGUAAAAUUAACUCGAGUGUCGUCCCUGGUUAUUAUUUUGCUUGACAGUUUUCAUUCCAGUCGACCUUGGUUAUUAUGCUAUUGGAUGGUUCAUGGACUCGCGUUGCUGGAUGAAACGCUUGGCGAUGACCUCGAGAACGAUAUUGUAGACUUCUUGUCUCGAUGCCAGGAUAGGUUCAAGCCAAGUAGCUAACAUCCCCUUCUACCCAAGGUCAAGCAUUCAGCGGCGGCAUCAGAGGAGACAUCGUCACGCGGAAGCCCCUUCUCUGGACAAGCAAAAGCUCUGGCCGCCAUGGAUGCCAAUGAGAUUCUCGACCAAGGUUCACCUGGGCCUGCAUCCUCCAAAAACAAGAUGCAUCCACUUAUCAAGAUACGAAGUCUACUCGCCAGGAGGAGCAUGAAUAGUACAUCGAGAGAGGAAGUAGGAGUUCUCCGAAAUGAUCAUCUACAAGCACAGUACAUAUUUGUUGAUUGCUAGCACUAUCUAUGUUUCCAUAGCAUUGUUUCCAACUGCUGUAACACCUAUUUUUACAAUUUAAGGUAUGAACUACCUGGCUUUAUUUUGAACUUAUGUACUGAUGUAGAAUGAUGGCUCCUGUUUUUUACUUGCUGGUAUGAACUGUUUCGUUGUAUUUUGUAAAGCUCAAGAGUUUACUUAUGAUGCUAACUAACAUUGCUACAACAUUUGUAUAGACUACCUCUAAUAAUUAUCCUUUCCUUGCCGUUUGGCAUUUUUUUUU